GUUGAGACUUUGGCUGAGUUCGGAUUUGUACUGGGCGCGACGAGCUGUAUGUCUUCAACACACGAGCUGAAACUGACGGUAGGCUGAAUCUCAAACCUUACACUUCGCCCACUUCAAUUUACUAAAGGUGAUUUAUACGACAAGGAACUGAUUAUUAAUGAACACUGUUUACACACGGGUGAAUAGCAGGUGAAUGAUUAUGAUAAACACUGAGGUGAAUAGGAGGUAAUAAAAUUAACUGAUUAUUUAUUAACACUGACAUGAAUAGCAGCAGGUAAACAUGACAAGGAAGAGAUUAUUGAUGAACACUGAGGUGAACAGCAGGUGAACUGAGUAUUGAUGAACACAGGUGAACAGCAGGUGAACGGAGUAUUGAUGAACAGCAGGUGAACUGAGUAUUGAUGAACACUGAGGUGAACUGAGUAUUGGUGAACAGCAGGUGAACAGCAGGUGAACUGAGUAUUGAUGAACACUGAGGUAAACAGCAGGUGAACAGCAGGUGAACUGAGUAUUGAUGAACAGCAGGUGAACAGCAGGUGAACUGAGUAUUGAUGAGCACUGAGGUGAACAGCAGGUGAACAGCAGGUGAACUGAGUAUUGAUGAACACAGGUGAACAGCAGGUGAACUGAGUAUUGAUGAACACAGGUGAACAGCAGGUGAACUGAGUAUUGAUGAACACAGGUGAACAGCAGGUGAACUGAGUAUUGGUGAACAGCAGGUGAACAGCAGGUGAACUGAGUAUUGAUGAACACUGAAGUUGUAGUAAGGGUUUGAACCUGGCUGUUAGCUAUAUGUGAUAUUCUUAAUGGACAAGAAACACUCCUCUUUGGUUGGUUCUUGUCUGUGUUAUUCUAUGCUGUCCUUCAGUUCCUUAGUCCAGUGGGUCAUUUGGUGCUGAGUGAGGACAAGCAGUGUGUCUGUGCUGUCUGUGAGACUGAUGGGGUGUACUGUGUUGAUCUACCAACUCUGCACCCCAGGUCUCCCACUCCCCCAGCUGACCAGUCCCCUGGCCCUGCUCUCUUCAAAGUGUCGUCUAAUUCGCUGGCAGCCAGAGACAAGGGUGUGUGUUCUCUGAUCGAGGUGGUGGGUCCGUCUCCCUGCGAGAUGCAGUCUGGGGGUUUACUUUCUAUAAAGCUGCUGACCAAUGGAAACUGACUGGAGUUUAGUCUACCUGUCAUUACUGUUGGUCAACAUGAUGACUCAGAGGAAAAUGACAGCGCGGUAGUGGUCGUGCAACCUGUGUUGGCUUAUGUUUACAACAACAAAACCACAAUUUUCAUCAUUAUCAUCAUCCUCACUAGGCGUUGGCCAUUUUCUCCUGGAGCCUCUCCUCUUCAAACUCCUCUUCGGCGUCGACGCUGCCCUCAUCAACUCCCCUAUGAUCCUUUGUGGCCUGCUUGAUGGGCGUCUCUGCUCCCUCCCCUUACGUCUUCUGGGAUGACCAGGCCUCCGUGUCAGAGUACUACACAGCCCGGAGCAGCCAAUCACUUUUAUUGUAACCUUAGCCAGGGCAAAUGGUGGUCCUCAGUGUUUGGUAGCAGUGGGCCGACAGGGGAGGGUGGUGCUGGUCAGGACCUGUGAGGGGAGGCCGGAGGAGAGGAGUAAGGUAGCAAGCUUCAUGGAGGGGUGUGUGUCGUGGCCUGUUGUGUGUGUGUGUGUGUGUGCGCAGGCAGGAAAGGCCUGUACCAUAGCACCGGCUCAGAUACUCUAGCCUUGGAUCUCCCAGGGGAGCGAAAGGCAGCUCCAAGCCCAUGAGAGAGCCUGAUGGUAGGCCACUGUGAGAGGCAAGACCAGGGUCAGGCCAUGGAUAGACCCAGGGAGUAUGCUGUCCUGUCAGCCUGAAUGUCUGCAGGGUCAUCACCCUGGCUGGGCCACUCACACAAUGCCUCAGGCACAGUGCAGCUGGUGGCGUUGUCUCUCAGAGGGAGGCUCCAGCUGUUGAGGUAACUGUAGGGGACACCAGUUUGAAGGAGGUUACAGUGAGGGAAAAAAGUAUUUGAUCCCCUGCUGAUUUUGUACGUUUGCCCACUGACAAAGA